rnacentral:rRNA from 1 species
UAGUCCACGCCGUAAACGAUGAAUACUAGGUGUCGGGAGGGUUGCCUUUCGGUGUCGCAGUUAACGCGUUAAGUUCUCCGCCUGGGGAGUACGCCGGCAACGGUAAAACUCAAAGGAAUUGACGGGGACCCGCACAAGCGGUGGAGCAUGUGGUUUAAUUCGAUGCAACGCGAAGAACCUUACCUGCCCUCGACAUACUCGGAACUUUCCAGAGAUGGAUUGGUGCCUUCGGGAACCGAGAUACAGGUGCUGCAUGGCUGUCGUCAGCUCGUGUCGUGAGAUGUUGGGUUAAGUCCCGCAACGAGCGCAACCCUUAUCCUUAGUUGCCAGCGAUUCGGUCGGGAACUCUAGGGAGACUGCCGGUGACAAACCGGNGGAAGGUGGGGACACGUCAAGGUCAUCAUGGGCCCUUAUGGGGCAGGGGGCUACACACGUGCUACAAUGGGCGAGUACAGAGGGGCUGCCAGCUAGCAAUAGUCAGCCAAUCCC